UGCGCAGCCAGCCAUCGAGGCUGGAGGAGGCCGUGGGCUGCGACGGCGGUUGUGCUGCACGCGGCGAUGGCGUCCAGGCUUCGCUCGAUCUACCUCCGCUGUGGGCUGCUGCUGCUCGUGGCGACCAAACCUUACUGCUCAGAUUUUGUGUACAAUCUUCAGAAUUACUGUAUGCUGCUCUGUCUGCCUGCAAGAACUUCCCCAGCGUGUAAUUCCGGUGAGGUUGCCGUCACCUCUGCACCGACCUCCUCGUGUCGAUCUGGCGGAGUAGGGUUCUUGCAAUUUGUCAGGGUGUACAAUCUGAACCAUCAAUUUGGUAUUUUUACUCAAGAAACUGAAUUUCAAAAUAUUUUAUUAUGGAUAUAUUUAAUUGGGAUAAUACAAGCAUGCCUGAAAUCUGAGCAGCUGAAUCUCUAGCUCUUCUGAAAAGCUGCUGCUAUUCAGGUGUACAAUCUGAACCAUCAAUUUGGUAUUUUUUUCUCAAGAAACUGAAUUUCAAAAUAUUUUAUUAUGGAUAUAUUUAAUUGGGAUAAUACAAGCAUGCCUGAAAUCUGAGCAGCUGAAUCUCUAGCUCUUCUGAAAAGCUACUGCUAUUCAGUAAGUAUAAGUUAUAACCCUUACAUUGUACUUAAAGUGUUUCACUCCCCAUCCAUCCGCACCGCCACUCCCUCCCUAGCCCAACGAGGCAGCGACCCCCUCCCUCCCUUUCCAUGGCAGAUGCAGACCCGUUUUGAUGCCUUCCUUCCAACCACGGCGUCCUGCCUGACCGGCUCAGCGCGCUGCCUCUCGCGACGCCGGACGCCACGGUGGCGCCCAAGCCCCCGUGCCGGAGGCCAUCUCGGAGAGCUCGAGUGCAAAUUCCCAUAUUGCUGCAAUUUGUUUGUUCUAGGGUCUGCUCUGAUCGUGAAUUGUAAAGGGGCUGGGGUUCCAGGCAGAGGGGCUCAAGGUGUUCAGGCAUGUGGUGUCAUACAAGUUCAACUCGAGGUCGGCAAGAAGGUCCUACUAGUGCGCCUGCUCGAGGACGUCAACCACUAGGACUUCAUUGACAUCCCCAUCUUCCGCUCCCAGACCAACGCCGACGACACAGUGCUCGCCGGGAUCUAGAGGGUGGGGAAAGGGAGCAUCGUUGAGCCCACCAUGCAACCCUUCCAGCUCGCCCGGCCCAUGUAGCUCUGGGUCUAGGAUGGCGACCAUGUCAGGCUCCCCUUCCCAGUAAGUCCGUAUACUAGCUCUGGAUCUGAAAUAAGGAUCAUAAUGUCUUAGUAAGGACAACUGAUUAAGAGUUGAACUUGAAUAUUAUUAAGACAUCAUAUUGGAGAGGAGGAUAUUAUUAAGCUGAUAUAUGAGUCCAGAGGUGUAGCCGCUUGAAAGAAGUAGGAUAUGGAGGACGCGGAGAAGGAGCAUACAUUCCUCCAUGCUAAGCACUGCUCCCUAUCCACCACCAGUGAAGUAUGUCUGUUCCUCAUCUAUGGGCGAAUUCAAAGAGAUUUUCCCCAUUCGUGCAUGUCACUAUUGUUUCCUAGAUGAUUGAUUUCUAUGCAAGAAAUUGCUUUUUCCCAUGUACUAGAUUUGAUCUCAAUCUUUAAUUGUAGGCAUUUUUUGUGGUGGUCAUCUAUGUCAGGUUGUAUCCUACACCUGGUUUAAUAUGCCAGGACGUGGAUGUGAAGCAUUUUUUUCCUAUUUUGCAGUGAUCAUUUCUUCACUAUAAAGUGCAAAGCAAGAUGCAGUUACAGAUAUAUGAUGAUCUAUAUUGUACAAAAGGGAAAAAGAUCUCGAAUUUGCUUUUCUCUUGAGCUCCAAUGGCCACCAGAGGAUCCUUGACAUACAGAGUACAUAUAUGAAAUUGAUCAGAUUCAAUAUGUCAAUGAGUAAGAGGAUGAUUGCAUGUGCAGAUGAAGAAAAUCUAUUUCAGAACAUUUUGCCUUACAUCUUAACUGGGCAUCAUUUUUUAAGAUGCAUUGUGCACUGCCAUGUGCAUGGUCUCUUCAUAUACCGGGCGUGAAAUGAUGUUGGAAGAGGCAAGAUGCUAAAUCCAGGGAAGAUAAGCCAAGAGAUGUGCUUCGAGCCGCACGUUGUUGUUUCCCUGAAGAGUAUUCUUUUCUUGAUUGGCGUGGCAGACUGUGUUCUGAGCUGAUGUUAUUGAUGAUUAAAAGUGGUUUCUUUUGCAUUGUUCUCCUUGUUAGUGGCAGGUGUGAUGGUCUGUCGAUUUUGUAAUAAUGGGUGAUGCAUGGGUGAUGGACACGAGUGUUUUUGCCAUAGAACUCUAAAGAACAGUUAUUUAAUUUUGAUCAUAUACAGUAGAAAAGGGCAUAUUAUUAUUGCAAUAUGGGCA